rnacentral:rRNA from 1 species
GAAUAUAAUUAUUUUGCCUAGUUACUUAAAUAUAUAUUUAUAUAUAUACUAUUCAUAAAAUAAUUUAUACAAAUUAAAUUACUAAUUUAAUCAUUAUAUUAUAACUAAUAUUAUUAAAAUUAUUUUUUUUUUAAAAUCAAUAUAUAUAUAAUUAAUUUUACUAUAAUUAAAAAUUUAUUAAUAAAUUAUUAAAUACUCAUUAAAUUCUUUUAAAUUUUAAAAUUAAUCUUUUUAAUUUUAAUUUAAAUUAUUAUAUAAAUUUAAUUUAUAGAUUAUCCCAUAAAUUAUUUAUAUUUUCUAAAAUAAACUUUUUUAUUUAAAUUUACUUUAAAAAAUAUAUAAAUUAAAUUUAAUUCAAAAAUAACUAGAUAUCAUUAAAAUUGAAUAACAUCUAAUCUCUAAAUAUAUAUUUAUAAUUUUUAUUCAACAAAAAAAAUUUUAUAUAUUUAACUCUUUUAAUUUCGAGAUAUUUAAUUUAUUAAAAAUUUUUAAAUUAACCCUGAUACAAAAGGUACAAAAUUUUACUUUAAUUUAUAAAAUUUUAAAAUUUCAUUUACAUUACUUAUAUAUAUAAAUAUAUUUAUUAUUUCUUAAAAUAUUACUUUAACAUAAAAUUUUUAUAAAAACUUUUUAUAAUAUACUAAUUAAAACAAUAAAAAAAUUUUAUUUAAUUAAUUA